UUCAUCUCUCCUACCACCUACCAUCUGCAUAGCUCCCACCACCAUCCCAUCUCAAUCGCCACCGCCAUAACCAGCACCACCACCUCCUUCACCUCCGCCACCAUAACCAGCAGAUCUGUUACAUUUUAUAUGUAUGAUUUCAGCUUGUUAUCAAUUGUUCUUCAUCUUCUUAAAUAUAUUUUCACCUGAUUCAACUACAAAACUCAAAUCUAGUAAUGAAGCAAAGAGAAAUUAAUCUCCGUAACCCAAUCACGAGCAUCAGAAAAGUUGGAUUCACUUCGAUUUUCAACUGAAGUGUGAAUUAUUCCAUUUUCUAACCCUAAUUUUGGGUUUCAUUUCUCUUCAGAUUGAUGAUUGAUUCAGGGAAGUCGCAUUUUUUGUGUUGGUGGUGUUGUAAUAUGAUUUUUGGUGGUGGUGGUGGUGAGGUUGGAAUGAUGAAUUGACAGUACAAUAAUGGUGGUUUGAUUGUGAUUACAAAUUUUGGGUGUUUCUCAUUUUAUUGAAUUUUGUUGUGUGUCUUUUAGAACAAAGUAUUGGGAUAUCAACAAUGCAUAUACAAGUAUUGGUAGAACUGAUUUCGGUGCUAUCACUACCGUUUGGCCUCUUCUGAGAAUGCCUACGUUCUGGUUGGUCAUGACAUCAAGUGGAUUCCUAGGCCUUGCUAUCAACUUCACAUCGAUGUGGUUUCUGCACCAAACAGAGGCUACAACUUACAGCCUUGUCGGAUCACUGAAUAAGAUUCCUCUCUCCGUCGCGGGAAUCCUUCUGUUCCACGUUCCUACUAGUUUACAGAACUUUACCACCAUCCUUUUUGGUUAAAAAUGGUUGAGUGCACAGUAAUGCUAAUACUGUUGAGUGCUUUUUCAAAGGAAAAUGAUGUAAUUGGAGGUUCGCAAGUAGAGGUUUGGUAGGUAUGGUAGGCUUACAUUUCACAUUCUCUUAAUGCCGGGAAAGCUCCAUUGACUCAUCGUGCACCAAUAUUACGAAGGCAACCAAGGAUUUCAAACUUCUACGGGCUUAUGUUCCCAUUAAGUUUUCCAUUUUCCAGUUUUUGUGAACUUGUUUUAUGUUAUGUGAACUUGCUUUGCAAGUUUUUAUUUUUUGAACUUUUUUGUUCAACACGAUAUAUUGCAAUUGUUCUAAAUAAUUUGUUGUUUUUGUAAAAGUAAACUAUCUUUAUAUUUC